CAGCUGCAAAGGCAAACCUCUUGAAAGAGAGGGACGCAAAGCCACCGGCCUGACUGACACUCACGUGUUAAAGGUAGCGGGGUUGCACAC
rnacentral:ncRNA from 1 species